AUUGCCUACGGGGGGCAGCAGUGGGGGAUAUUGCACAAUGGGGGGAACCCUGAUGCAGCGAUGCCGCGUGGGUGAAGAAGUAUUUCGGUAUGUAAAGCCCUAUCGGCAGGGAAGAAAUUGGACGGUACCUGACUAAGAAGCCCUGGCUAACUACGUGCCAGCAGCCGCGGUAAUACGUAGGGGGCAAGCGUUAUCCGGAUUCACUGGGUGUAAAGGGAGCGUAGACGGCCAUGCAAGCCUGGAGUGAAAGCCCUGGGCCCCACCCCGGGCCUGCUCUGGGAACUGUGCGGCUGGGGUGCGGGAGG
rnacentral:rRNA from 1 species